rnacentral:rRNA from 1 species
GAUGAACGCUGGCGGCGUGCCUAAUACAUGCAAGUCGAGCGAACGGACGAGAAGCUUGCUUCUCUGAUGUUAGCGGCGGACGGGUGAGUAACACGUGGAUAACCUACCUAUAAGACUGGGAUAACUUCGGGAAACCGGAGCUAAUACCGGAUAAUAUUUUGAACCGCAUGGUUCAAAAGUGAAAGACGGUCUUGCUGUCACUUAUAGAUGGAUCCGCGCUGCAUUAGCUAGUUGGUAAGGUAACGGCUUACCAAGGCAACGAUGCAUAGCCGACCUGAGAGGGUGAUCGGCCACACUGGAACUGAGACACGGUCCAGACUCCUACGGGAGGCAGCAGUAGGGAAUCUUCCGCAAUGGGCGAAAGCCUGACGGAGCAACGCCGCGUGAGUGAUGAAGGUCUUCGGAUCGUAAAACUCUGUUAUUAGGGAAGAACAUAUGUGUAGGUAACUGUGCACAUCUUGACGGUACCUAAUCAGAAAGCCACGGCUAACUACGUGCCAGCAGCCGCGGUAAUACGUAGGUGGCAAGCGUUAUCCGGAAUUAUUGGGCGUAAAGGCGCGCGUAGGCGGUUUUUUAAGUCUGAUGUGAAAGCCCACGGCUCAACCGUGGAGGGUCAUUGGAAACUGGAAAACUUGAGUGCAGAAGAGGAAAGUGGAAUUCCAUGUGUAGCGGUGAAAUGCGCAGAGAUAUGGAGGAACACCAGUGGCGAAGGCGACUUUCUGGUCUGUAACUGACGCUGAUGUGCGAAAGCGUGGGGAUCAAACAGGAUUAGAUACCCUGGUAGUCCACGCCGUAAACGAUGAGUGCUAAGUGUCAGGGGGUUUCCGCCCCUUAGUGCUGCAGCUAACGCGUUAAGCACUCCGCCUGGGGAGUACGACCGCAAGGUUGAAACUCAAAGGAAUUGACGGGGACCCGCACAAGCGGUGGAGCAUGUGGUUUAAUUCGAAGCAACGCGAAGAACCUUACCAAAUCUUGACAUCCUUUGACAACUCUAGAGAUAGAGCUUUCCCCUUCGGGGGGCAAAGUGACAGGUGGUGCAUGGUUGUCGUCAGCUCGUGUCGUGAGAUGUUGGGUUAAGCCCCGCAACGAGCGCAACCCUUAAGCUUAGUUGCCAUCAUUAAGUUGGGCACUCUAAGUUGACUGCCGGUGACAAACCGGAGGAAGGUGGGGAUGACGUCAAAUCAUCAUGCCCCUUAUGAUUUGGGCUACACACGUGCUACAAUGGACAAUACAAAGGGCAGCGAAACCGUGAGGUCAAGCAAAUCCCAUAAAGUUGUUCUCAGUUCGGAUUGUAGUCUGCAACUCGACUACAUGAAGCUGGAAUCGCUAGUAAUCGUAGAUCAGCAUGCUACGGUGAAUACGUUCCCGGGUCU